AUUUAGCAGUUAUAUAAAAUCAUCUAAUGUUUUACCAAAUUGUUAAUCUUCUUUUGUAAAUGUCCAUCUUUGUGGAGUUUAUAUUCUUAUCAUGAAUACCCAUUUAAUGUCAGCAUGUUAGUUAGUCAUCCACAAAGUCAUUUCAAUAAAACACAUGGUUGGUGUGUUGUUUGGUUCAUGGGAUUGUAAAGUACUUCCUGAGUUCAAUUUUUUGUGACUUACUUUUCUUUAUAUUCUAUUUUAAAAAGAAGCCACUUUCUAUAUUUAGUAGCUCUUUAAUUCAAUCAUCCCAUCUAGCAUUUUUAAAUCCACGAGAUGUAAAGAGUAUUUUGAUACAUUCUGCACAUCUUUAGUUUAAAAUCAUAAGAUUCGAAAGUCUUUCUUAUUUUCUUAAACUGCAUGGUUAGUGAAACUAAGUCACAUACAUGUAAUGGAGGGAGUAAUUUGUGAUGUAUCGUCAUAUGACUUUUUGAGGAAAAGAAUCCUGGUGCUUAGACUGUUAAAUUGCUGAGGAGAUUGUCUCAUGAAAUGGAACCUGUGAACACUGCUCUGCUAUGUUGCUCGGACUCUUCCAAAAUAUAGUUGGGAGCUCUACUUUCUUAUUUCUUGAAAUCAAUUGAUAUUUUUUCUGUGACCAUUGGACAAUCCAGUAUAGCUUCUAAAACCUCCAUUAUUGGAGAUGAAGUGAUGAGAGCUAUACACGAGUGUAUCUUAUCAUUGUCCAACAACUUAAUGGACCCAUUUAAGGUGAACAAAGUUUCUGCAAUUUUCUAGCCAUGCUACUUCAUGUUAUCCUCACUGUCUAUAUAUUACAUUUUUCCUUUUGCCCUUCGCUGCCACUUGUCUUUGUUGCGAAAAUUCCAUCCGAGGAGUUUCAACACUCUGAAACUGCUCUGACCACUUUAACAUGUGGGUAGAUCGCAUAAUUUUUCUCUGUCUAGAUGAAUAACCUAUUGGCACUGCUUUAUCGACUUCAAAGAGCGCGCUCUGAUGUCAAGGUACUCCAUAUGCUAGAACAACUCUGGAUGGCAUGAAGUCAUUCUUGGAACCACUGGCAGGAAGCAUGACACUUUUGCAAAGGGCGCAAUGUCUCCUUCCACUUAGUCUUCUCUAUGCAAGUAUUCUUUUGAAUUUAGGCGGCAAAACUAAUUCAUCUGUAACACACUCUGGAACCGACCAAUCUUCUUUACCAGGCAUUGGAAUUAUUGGAACCUCAUAAGUUUUGGCUAAUGCAUCUGAUUUAUAGUAAUCAGAGUAGUAUGAAUGCAUAUCUGUAAUAUUUUUGAUUUUUAAAAAAGCAAUUGCAUAUGCACAA